UACGUAGGGUGCGAGCGUUAAUCGGAAUUACUGGGCGUAAAGCGUGCGCAGGCGGCUUUGCAAGACAGAUGUGAAAUCCCCGGGCUCAACCUGGGAACUGCAUUUGUGACUGCAAGGCUAGAGUACGGCAGAGGGGGAUGGAAUUCCGCGUGUAGCAGUGAAAUGCGUAGAUAUGCGGAGGAACACCAAUGGCGAAGGCAAUCCCCUGGGCCUGUACUGACGCUCAUGCACGAAUGCGUGGGGAGCAAACAGG
rnacentral:rRNA from 1 species